UCCGUUCGAGUAGAGAGUCAACUCGAGCGAAAGAGAGAUAGCACACAUUAGCGGUUACGACUUCUUAGAAGUAUCUUAGCACGAGUACUUAACUAUUAUCUCGUAUUGCACGCCGUCAGAAUUCCGACACGUGUUCGCCGGCAAAACGAACUCGAUCCCAACUAACAAACAAACGAGCCUUUGAUUUACGAACAUUGCAACAAGAUGAAUUUUAAUCGUACGUCGCGACAUCGCGGUCUGGUCAUUGGAAUUGAUAAAGAUUUGCAAAACUUACACCGGCAUAAAAUUAACAAAUAGUUUCUGUCGUUUAAACAAAACUUUUAUCUAUUUACCCGUGCCAUCCUUGGAAAGAUGGUAUUUAAUUCACGAAGACUUCAUUCUCAUCAUUGAGAUUCCAUUUUCUGGAACUCGAUGCCGUUCGAUAAAGAUACCGGUGCAUCUCGCCUUACGUUUACGUUCCAGUCAUUCCUAGGAGAUGCAAGUAUUCGAUGUAUCCAUGAGAGAGCUGGCGCCGUGAGAGCUCUAGACGACCAUCCAUAAAAUAUACCCGUCGUCGAGCGAAAGGAAGAGAAAAAGAGAGGGAAAGAGAGAGAGAGAGAGAGAGAGAGAGAGAAAGAGAGAGAGAAAGAAAGAAAGAGAGAGAAAAAAGAGGAGAAGAUAAAGAAGGAGGUAGAUGGAGGAAGCUGUGAUGAGGGUAAAGAGACCAAGAAUCUUCCCGCUACUUGUCUUCCGUAGUCACCGAGAAACGCGUUGCCCGAGGAGAUCGUUUACCCGGAGGGUGCGAAAGCGGCAUAGAGAGAAGCAAACGAGAAGAGGAAACGCGGAGGACGCUGAAAAAUGAGGGACCUCCGUAGACUAGACUGUUCUCUGCGUUCAAACGAAAAUUAGAAAUGGGAGGUAGACCGUGUUGGUGUCGUGACGAGGCAAAUGUUGUCGAGUAAAAUCAAAAACAAAAAAAAAAAAAAAGAAAGAAAGAAAGAAAGAAAGAAAAAGAAAAACAAAAAAAUAAAAUAAAAUCUAUUCAACGAACUUAGUCGAACAUUUUUUUCCCUCUCCCUUCCUAAAAUACUUCGACACGCUAACGAAGAAAAUAAUCAAGACGACGUAGAUUCAACUUGUAAUAAUAAUUGCGACGAAUGAACAAUGGCCUGCAAAGUAAAUUCUGAUUUCGUGUGGAACGUAUGAAAAGUAGAAAAUCCAUGAGAUUCUGACGAUCGUGCUCCGGAAUGGAAGAGGCUUGCCGAACGGCUGGAAAGAUAUUCCGGUUGGUGAAUAAAUUGCCGAUGGCAAGGCCGCAACUAAUGGCCGCCAGUCUGGCGUCGAUACUCUUGCUUGUUGGCCGUCGUACACAUACGUCGAGUUAACAAACUACUGGUAAGAAGAUGUUCGAAGGAAGAUGCCGUUCCUCGUAUUCUUUUCUUUUUUUUUUUUAUUUCAUCUCCCUUUCUCUCUCUCUCUCUCUCUCUCUCUCUCUCUCUCUUUCUUUCUUUCUUCCUCUCUCUCACACUCUAACUCUCUUUUUAUUUUCAUUCUAAGCGCGAUCUUACUUUGGAUAUUUUUGCGAGAAUAUGAUUAAAUAUCGAUACGAAAUAUUGUCAAGUUCAUGAGCUGUCAAAUAUUCGUGAAUACGGCUCAGGUUAGGCGAUAAUCCUAAAAAUUAAAAAAAAAGAAAAAAAAAAAAAAGAUUGAUUUAAAAAAAGAAGUAAAUUCUUCGUGCUUACUCUCAAAAUCUUAUUCUAAGUUUAAGAUGCAAAACUAUCCAAAAGAAAAUUAAAACAAUAAUAUGAAUAUACAUUACGGCUGAUAUUAAUUUGAUUGAAUGUUUAAAAAAGAAAAAUGUUGAAAAUCUUUAAAGUUAUACAAUAUGCAACAAAUAAUGUAUAUCCAAUGUAAGUACUAUUCGAUCAUCGCGAUUUAUUUUAAUUGAUUUAUUACUUUAUAAUAUAUAUUAAAUAUAAUCAGCGGAUCAUUUAGAUUGCAAGGAUAUGUACAAUAUUUUUUUCGCGGAAAUAAAAAAUGCCAAAGAGAUGUACUGAUCCAAGGUGUCCUUUGAAUAAAUAUUUUAAUGAUCAAAAAUCGCAGAAAGACUCAUGCAAAAUUCAUGAAAAGCCAUGCAUAACAUUUUCCUCCGAUAGUGAACGAGAGUAUCGCAACAAGCAUAAACGAACAAAAUGUACGAAAUUAAAGCAUAAAAAGCCACAAGAAAAAAAUGAUCGUUGUGGGAUAUGUUGCAAAAAGUAAAUUUCUGUUAUAUAUACGAAUUAGAAGAGAAAAAAAAAGAAUAAAUAUAAAAAAAUAUCUCACGUAAAAUUAUUUUAUCUUUAGCAAAAAAUGUAAACUUUUAAAAACUACCACAGAACAUGCCACAUCCACGGAUUCACUGACAAAAGCACGGUAAAAUACUGAUAUAUUUAUACUCUCAAAGAUUCAUAAUAUUUGUACAAAAAGUCUCGUUUUCUUUGGUGCAACGUUGUGAAUAAGAUCCUUAAAAAAAAAAAUCCUACAGACCGAAAAAAUCCAGAAUGAAAGAGAGGGCUCAUCGGUACGAAGAGAAUGAAGAAGGAAGAUGUUGCGAAUGUAGAAUCAAAAAAUGUUACGAACCUAAGAAGAAGAAAAAAAAGCGACAUCGAUCUCGUUGUAAGAAAAAAGGAAAAUUUAGUUGGCUAAGAAAAUGUCUCAGAAGUUUUUUCUUUUGUUGUAAAAGUUCUAAGAGAUCUAAAAGAUCCAAAUCUUGCAAAUCACAUGUAAUACGUAAUUCACCCCAAAGCUAUGAAUAUUGUUGCACGUACAGAAAUGUAUGUUAACUAAUUGUCAUACUUCAUAAAGGUAUCUUCAAAUAAAUAUAUAUAAAUUCACAACAACUCAAAGAAAAAAAUAAUUAAUUUAGAAACAUGAAGAAACAUGAAGAAACAUGAGAAAACAUCGAGAAAAUCGUAUCGUU